rnacentral:rRNA from 1 species
AGAGUUUGAUCCUGGCUCAGAACGAACGCUGGCGGCAGGCUUAACACAUGCAAGUCGAACGCCCCGCAAGGGGAGUGGCAGACGGGUGAGUAACACGUGGGAACGUGCCCUAAGGUUCGGAAUAUUCCCGGGAAACUGGGAGCAAUACCGAAUGUGUCCGUAAGGAGAAAGAUUUAUCGCCUUAGGAUCGGCCCGCGUCAGAUUAGCUUGUUGGUGGGGUAAUGGCCUACCAAGGCGACGAUCUGUAGCUGUUCUUAGAGGAAGAGCCAGCCACACUGGGACUGAGACACGGCCCAGACUCCUACGGGAGGCAGCAGUGGGGAAUCUUGGACAAUGGGCGCAAGCCUGAUCCAGCCAUGCCGCGUGGAUGACGAAGGCCUUAGGGUUGUAAAAUCCUUUCAGCGGGGACGAUAAUGACG